ensembl:rRNA 5S_rRNA 5S ribosomal RNA
GUCUAUAGCCAUGCCACCCUGAACGUGCCUGUCCUGUCUGAUCUCAGAAGCUAAGCAGAGUUGGGCCUGGUUAGUAUCUGGAUGGAAGACCACCUAGGAAGACCAGGAGCUGUAGGCG